rnacentral:rRNA from 1 species
AUAGAGACUCAGAGCUGCAUAUCAAUAAGCGGAGGAAAAGAAACUAACAAGGAUUCCCCUAGUAACGGCGAGUGAAGCGGGAAGAGCUCAAAUUUGAAAUCUUCAAGGGUUUCCCUUGACGAAUUGUAGUUUAAAGAAGUGUUUUCUGUUAGAGAGGUGGUAAAAGUUCUUUGGAAUAGGACAUCAUAGAGGGUGAGAAUCCCGUAUUUGAUCCAUUAUUUCCUAACUGUGUGAUACACUUUCAAAGAGUCGGAUUGUUUGGGAAUGCAGUCCAAAAUGGGUGGUAAAUUUCAUCUAAAGCUAAAUAUUGGCGAGAGACCGAUAGCGAACAAGUACCGUGAGGGAAAGAUGAAAAGAACUUUGAAAGAGAGUUAAACAGUACGUGAAAUUGUCAAAAGGGAAGCGUUUGACACCAGUGUUGUUUUCUCGAAAAUCAAUUAAAAAUGAUGGGAUUUUGUGUUGUAUUGACUUUAUCAGCCUUUCUGCACUUUUUUCUUAGUCUUUUUUAAUGCACUUUUCGUUUAACAAGUCAACAUCAAUUUCUUUUGUUGUAAAAGGGUCAUUGGAAGGUGGCUUUUUCUUCGGAAAAAGUGUUUAUAGCCUUUGGCUUCUGCAAUCGGAGAGAUUGAGGUCUGCAGCGUAGAUCCUUCGGGGUUAGAUACAUUUGUGCUAAGCUAUAGUUCUUUAUAGACAACUUGUUGACUAUAAUCAAUCCUGUAACUUACUCGCUUAUGCUAUUUUACCUACGCUUAGGAUGUUGAUAUGCAUGACUGAUAU